UACAGAGGUCUCAACCGUUGUUCGGAUUCAUUGGGCGUAAAGGGUGCGUAGGCGGUCGUGCAAGUCGGAUGUGAAAUCUCAGGGCUCAACCCUGAAACUGCAUUCGAUACUGCGCGGCUAGAGUGCUGGAGGGGAGACUGGAAUUUACGGUGUAGCAGUGAAAUGCGUAGAGAUCGGGAGGAACACCAGAGGCGAAGGCGGCGACCUGGACAAGUACUGACACUCAACUACGAAAGCGUGGGGAGCAAACAGG
rnacentral:rRNA from 1 species